rnacentral:rRNA from 1 species
UGGGGAAUUUUGGACAAUGGGCGAAAGCCUGAUCCAGCAAUGCCGCGUGUGUGAAGAAGGCCUUCGGGUUGUAAAGCACUUUUGUCCGGAAAGAAAUCCUUGGCUCUAAUACAGUCGGGGGAUGACGGUACCGGAAGAAUAAGCACCGGCUAACUACGUGCCAGCAGCCGCGGUAAUACGUAGGGUGCAAGCGUUAAUCGGAAUUACUGGGCGUAAAGCGUGCGCAGGCGGUUUGCUAAGACCGAUGUGAAAUCCCCGGGCUCAACCUGGGAACUGCAUUGGUGACUGGCAGGCUAGAGUAUGGCAGAGGGGGGUAGAAUUCCACGUGUAGCAGUGAAAUGCGUAGAGAUGUGGAGGAAUACCGAUGGCGAAGGCAGCCCCCUGGGCCAAUACUGACGCUCAUGCACGAAAGCGUGGGGAGCAAACAGGAUUAGAUACCCUGGUAGUCCACGCCCUAAAACGAUGUCAACUAGUUGUUGGGGAUUCAUUUCCUAGUAACGUAGCUAACGCGUGAAGUUGACCGCCUGGGGAGUACGGUCGCAAGAUUAAAACUCAAGUGAAUUGAC